rnacentral:rRNA from 1 species
UACAGAGGGGGCAAGCGUUGUUCGGAAUUACUGGGCGUAAAGGGCGCGUAGGCGGCCCGCUAAGUCGAACGUGAAAUCCCCGAGCUCAACUCGGGAACUGCGUCCGAUACUGGCGGGCUUGAAUCCGGGAGAGGGAUGCGGAAUUCCAGGUGUAGCGGUGAAAUGCGUAGAUAUCUGGAGGAACACCAAUGGCGAAAGCAGCUUUCUGGGACGGUACUGACGCUGAGACGCGAAAGCGUGGGGAGCGAACAGG